UACGAAGGGGGCUAGCGUUGUUCGGAAUUACUGGGCGUAAAGCGCGCGCAGGUGGUCUUUCAAGUCAGUGGUGAAAGCCCGGAGCUCAACUCCGGAAAUGCCAUUGGAACUGUAAGACUUGAGGAUGAGAGAGGUGAGUGGAAUUCCCAGUGUAGAGGUGAAAUUCGUAGAUAUUGGGAAGAACACCGGUGGCGAAGGCGGCUCACUGGCUCAUAUCUGACGCUCAGGCGCGACAGCGUGGGGAUCAAACAGG
rnacentral:rRNA from 1 species